rnacentral:rRNA from 1 species
CCUACGGGUGGCAGCAGUGGGGAAUCUUGGACAAUGGGGGAAACCCUGAUCCAGCAAUGCCGCGUGUGGGAUGAAGGCCCUCGGGUUGUAAACCACUUUUGGCAGGAAAGAAAUCGCCUGUGCUAAUACCAUGGGCGGAUGACGGUACCUGCAGAAUAAGCACCGGCUAACUACGUGCCAGCAGCCGCGGUAAUACGUAGGGUGCGAGCGUUAAUCGGAAUUACUGGGCGUAAAGCGUGCGCAGGCGGUUUUGUAAGACAGAUGUGAAAUCCCCGGGCUUAACCUGGGAACUGCAUUUGUGACUGCAAGACUAGAGUGUGUCAGAGGGAGGUGGAAUUCCGCGUGUAGCAGUGAAAUGCGUAGAGAUGCGGAAGAACACCGAUGGCGAAGGCAGCCUCCUGGGAUAACACUGACGCUCAGGCACGAAAGCGUGGGGAGCAAACAGGAUUAGAUACCCUAGUAGUC